rnacentral:rRNA from 1 species
GACGAACGCUGGCGGCGUGCCUAAUACAUGCAAGUCGAGCGAGCAAUUUUAGCAGAAUACCUUCGGGUAGGAAGCUAAGAGCGCGAGCGGCGGAUGGGUGAGUAACACGUGGGCAACCUACCCUUUAGCUGGGGAUACCACUUGGAAACAGGUGCUAAUACCGAAUAAGAAGCAAGAGCGCAUGCUCAAGCUAUGAAAGGCGGCUUUGAGCUGUCACUAAAGGAUGGGCCCGCGGUGCAUUAGCUAGUUGGUAAGGUAACGGCUUACCAAGGCGAUGAUGCAUAGCCGAGUUGAGAGACUGAACGGCCACAUUGGGACUGAGACACGGCCCAAACUCCUACGGGAGGCAGCAGUAGGGAAUCUUCCACAAUGGACGCAAGUCUGAUGGAGCAACGCCGCGUGAGUGAAGAAGGUUUUCGGAUCGUAAAGCUCUGUUGUUGGUGAAGAAGGAUAAGGAUAGUAACUGAUUCAUAUUUGACGGUAAUCAACCAGAAAGUCACGGCUAACUGCGUGCCAGCAGCCGCCGUAA